ensembl:lincRNA
GUAGUUCAUAAGCCGGCUUUAUAAAAAAAAAAAAAAAAAAAAAAAAUAGAAAUCAGUUCUGGCAACCGGGCCUUCCUCUCUUAGGGCUCUUAGAAGAAUCAUGACUUUUUUUUUUUUUUUUGAUCCACCCGCUUUGGCCUCUUAAAGUGCUGAGAUUACAGGUGUGAGCCACUGUGCCAGGCCAAGAAGUGUACAUUUUUUAAUAGCGUCUUGCAAAAUUAAUCUCGAAGUUUUAUGUAAGGAUUGAUUCAGAUUGAGAAAAGAGGCAGAGAAUAAAUAUUGAUGGUGUUGUGAUUAAUGGCAAAAUUAAGGCAGGUAGUAUGAGUUGAAAAUUAAACACAGAUACAUGUUACUAAAUCAAAAUUAGAUGUAUCACAGACUAGAGAGUGGCACAAAUUAUCCUUAAAGAAAACAAAACUUCAGCAAACUAUCUGGUACAAUUUGCUGUUUUUAUUCUCCUAGACAUAAAAAUGUAAAAUCUUGGCAGUAUUUAAAGUAGAUAAGGUGUCCUUGUAAACUAAUAGUAGUAUGAUUAUAAUUACUUCAAAAAAUUUACAGAAACAACAAACAGUUGGGGAACUGAUGCAGCAUACAGCUCUUACUGAAAACGAUGAUAGUGGUGAAUAUGAAGAAAUGUCAGAAAUGAAAGAAGGGAAAGCAUGUGAGCAACACGUGUCACAAGGGAUUUUCAUGACGCAACCAGCUACGCCUAUCGAAGCAUUUUCAGAUGAGGAAAUAGAAAUCCCAGAGGAGAAGGAAGGAACAGAGGAUUCAAAAGGAAAUGGAAUAGAGGAACAAAAGGUAGAAGCAAAUGAGGAAAAUGUGAAGAUGCGUGCAGGAAGACAGGAGGAAACAGAGAUCCUAUCAGAUGACCUUACAGACAAAGCAGAGAACCUUUCAGAGAGGAUGACCUGCCCAUUAAGAACUUUCACACAUCACUUCAUUUAA